UACGUAGGGUGCAAGCGUUGUCCGGAAUUAUUGGGCGUAAAGAGCUCGUAGGCGGUUUGUCGCGUCUGCUGUGAAAACUCGGGGCUCAACUCCGAGCUUGCAGUGGGUACGGGCAGACUAGAGUGCGGUAGGGGAGACUGGAAUUCCUGGUGUAGCGGUGAAAUGCGCAGAUAUCAGGAAGAACACCCGUGGCGAAGGCGGCUCUCUGGGACGGUACUGACGCUGAGACGCGAAAGCGUGGGGAGCGAACAGG
rnacentral:rRNA from 1 species